UACGUAGGGGGCAAGCGUUGUUCGGAAUUACUGGGCGUAAAGGGCGCGUAGGCGGCAUGGCAAGUCGGGAGUGAAAGCCCGGGGCUCAACCCCGGAACUGCUUUCGAAACUGCCAAGCUAGAGUACGGAAGGGGCAACUGGAAUUCCCAGUGUAGCGGUGAAAUGCGUAGAUAUCGGGAGGAACAUCGGUGGCGAAGGCGGCCUUCUGGACGGAUACUGACGCUGAGACGCGAAAGCGUGGGGAGCAAAC
rnacentral:rRNA from 1 species